rnacentral:rRNA from 1 species
UACAGGGGGGGCAAGCGUUGUUCGGAAUUACUGGGCGUAAAGGGCCAGUAGGCGGCCAACUAAGUCCGACGUGAAAUCCCUAAGCUUAACUUGGGAACUGCGUCGGAUACUGGAUGGCUUGAAUUCGGGAGAGGGAUGCAGAAUUCCAGGUGUAGCGGUGAAAUGCGUAGAUAUCUGGAGGAAUACCGGUGGCGAAGGCGGCAUCCUGGACCGACAUUGACGCUGAACGGCGAAAGCUAGGGGAGCAAACGGG